UCCGGAGUAGCUCAGCGGUAGAGCGAUCGGCUGUUAACCGAUUGGUCGUAGGUUCGAUCCCUACCUCCGGAGCCA
rnacentral:tRNA from 1 species